GAUAGCUUGCAGAUUGUUAGAAAAUGUAUAGUUUGGGAUAAAAAGAGCAUAUGUUGUACCGGUAAUGACAGUUACACUUUAAAAUAUAGACAAAAUUUAGUUUGUUGAUGUAACUUAACAGGCAUCAAUGAUAAAGUUUUAGAUUUAGAUACAGUUUAGGUUUAUGUUCUUUUAAUGCAUGCUCUCACACAUUCCAGUUACAUGUGCUCACAUGCAAA